GCCCGUGUUGCUCAGUGGUUAGAGUGUUGGCCAGUGCACCAAAGGGUCACGGGUUUGAUUCCCCAUCAAGGGCA
rnacentral:tRNA from 1 species